ACCGUCACAGGUCAGCUGGGCCAGCUAGACCAGGAGGACCAGGUCAAAGACCACAUGGAAAGUGCCAAGGAGAGCGAUGCGGCUCGCGAUAUCGAGGAUCUCCCCCAACCUGAAGCUGUCAAAAGCGCAGAGGAAGUUUGCUCACUGGGCCCCAGUCCUGGUGCCCUAGGCCCUAAGACUAGUUUGCCAUCGACCCAUCAGACCCAAAUGGUGGACCCUCAGGUGGCUCAGACCAUCCAGGACUUUCAGGCCAUGGAUCACACCCAACAGGCCACCCAGAGCAGCUCUUCAGUACAAAGGGUUGAACCAGGCCAGUCCCUGUCUGCCCAGGAAUUUCACGGAAAGUCAUUGGCUUUCAAGACCCCGCCACCAGUGGGCCAGAAGCUAAGUCCAAACCCCCCUGAUGUGGCAUCAGUGCUCCCUGAGUCCCCAACUCCAGCUGCUCAUGCCCAGGAGUCAGUGUCCCCCAGGAGGUGGCCCACCCCUGACCUGGCAAAGAAGAGUUGCUCACUCUAGCACAGAGCCAGACCCCAGCCUCUGAAAAAACUCACCAAUCGUCCUCCAGAUUUAAGUGCCAAGUUUCUAAAAGCACAAAUACUUGCCUUCACCUUGUUUUGGAAAUCUCCGUCUAGAGUCCUGACCUGCCUGAGACCAGCACAAUAACCAGCCUGCCUCUGCCAAGUAUACAUGUUUCAGUGUUGAGGAGAAUUUUCUAGCUUGCAGGCAAUAAAGUUAUUUAUUGCCAGAAUUUUAAGCCAUAAUAAACUAUGCUAUUCCAAAUGAACAUUGUUUUAAAAUAAGUUGGAUUUUAAAACAGACCUUGCUUGUGAAAGCAUUCCAGCCUUCUGAGUGGAAAAUAAUAUCUCACAUACUCUGGGUGAAGAUAGAGGUGCAAUUUCCACAGAAAUGGACAUUGAAAAAUGCAGCUCCUUGUAGUUAAGGAUACUUUGUGACCUCUCAGGUAUCAGAAACAUAAAUACAAUCAGUGUAACAUGCUAUAAUUUAUAUGUUCAUUUUCUUUAGGUAACUUGAGUUUCCCUUUUUCCCAAGGAUUUAAAAUCUGAUUUGAUUGCAUAUUUUAAUGAUAAUCAAAUAAAAUUCAUUUGGAACUGC
rnacentral:lncRNA from 1 species